rnacentral:rRNA from 1 species
UACGUAGGGGGCAAGCGUUGUCCGGAUUUACUGGGCGUAAAGAGCGUGUAGGCGGCCAAACAGGUCCGUUGUGAAAACUGGAGGCUCAACCUCCAGACGUCGACGGAAACCGUAUGGCUAGAGUCCGGAAGAGGAGAGGUGGAAUUCCUGGUGUAGCGGUGAAAUGCGCAGAUAUCAGGAAGAACACCAAUGGCGAAGGCAGCUCUCUGGGACGGUACUGACGCUGAGACGCGAAAGCGUGGGGAGCGAACAGG